GGUAACAGCGACACAACCGGUAGUUGAGGUGGUGGGGUUUGUGGCUGAGCGCGAGAGCAGUAACUACGGUAAUGGGAGUGCGCGCGGGUGUGAGAAAUACGGAAGCUCCAGGAGCUGCAGACUCUCCAGCUGCCCUGGUAGGGAGAUGCCCCACCCCCUAGAAGCCAAGCCACCUGGCGCUACUUGCCCCCUAGCUGUUAGGAAGCACCUUUUGGUAGGGAGGCGCUUUUCCCCCCUGUGGUCACCGUGGCACCUCCAAGGAGCAACUGUAGGAAGAGUCACACCUGCAACAUCUGAGGCCAAAGUUAGCCACCUUGGGAAUCCCUGUGAUUGAGGCUGGGAUUUUAAAAUGUGCGUAUUGCAUUAAAUGUCAGCCUGGAAGGCACCACAGCAAGACAUUUCCCACUGCCUUCUGCUGCUCAUCCCUGCCUGGGCUUGAAGAAUUGGAGGUGACUUGACCUUUUUCUACAGACACCUUUUCUCUGUUGGAUGCUGCUUUUACUGUGUCCCCUGAAGGAGGCUUUCAUACCCAGACUUGCUUCCUUUCUUGACUCCCAGGUGCAAUUUUUGUCCUCCUCCUCCAUACUCCUCUGACAGUCUUCUUUAAAACAGAGCACUUGCGGUCAAGCCAUAUCAGUGUGGCCUCUGUGACUUAAUGGUACUUAAUGCCCUCUGGAUUCUACCUGCAGGUAGGUCCCUGCUGCUCUUCUGCAGAUAAGAAUCUGUUUUUAACAGCAGCCUUUCUCCUACUCAGAUAGAGGAAUCCCUAAGCCAAUUAAACACAUUAGGGGAGGCAUGUGGCUCUGGUUCAAGAUGUCUGAUGUCUGCAUUGCAGGGCAUAUCCAAGUGCCCA